ACGAUUUCAUGGAGGAAGGACUCUUGACGACGAACGAGAGCCCCCCUUGAAUGAGAGCUUUCGACGACGUUGGUGGGAUUGAAGGCUCAAUUUACUCCGAAGCCAAGAUUGCACCUCCAAUCUAAACGAAAAGCAAGCAUUAUUUAUCUAUUUUUUAAGAACAAAGAUGUGGGGGUGUGGGGGUAGGAGGGGAGGUUUCUUCGAGUGGAGUGGGCGACUCUCUGUGAGGUUGGGUGGAUUUAGAUGUUUCAUUUGAUGGCUUGAUCGAGGACCUUGGGAUAGAUGAAGGAGGAAAUCUUGGGAGAAAAAGUCUUUAGAUCAUACCUCGCUUUCUCUGGAUUCUGGGAUUUCUUACUGUGAUUUCCUGUUGUGAUUUCCUGCAAUGAUUCCAAUGUGUGCGUGCUUAAUCAUGUUGGAUUAGUAUUUCAGAUUUGAUUCUGUGAUUUUUUGCUAAUGAAUUCAAUGUAUGUGCUUGCUUAAAUCUUGUUGGCUUGGUAUUUCAGAUUUGAUUUAGGGAGUUCUUGUUGUGAGUUCAUGGAUGAGUUGUUUAAUCAUGCUAGCUUCGCAUUUUUGCGGCAAAAUUCUAGUAGAACGUGUUUUAGUUUUAAUAUCAAUGCCCUUGUUUGGUUCUUGAGUUUGCUAUAAAUUUCUAAUUCAGUAGGUUUUAAUGCAAUUCCAAUGUGGUUCAUGCUUCUCCAUGGUGUUUUUGAAUUUCUGGAUAGAUUUAGUGGGUUGAGAGUUGAUUCAAUGUUGUUCUUGAUUCCUCAAGUUAGCUAUGGUUUAUGGACAGAUGUAGUAGGUUGUAAAGUGAUUCCAAUGUGGUUCUUGCUUCUUGUCAUGACUUUAGAUUUUCUAGAUAGAUUUAAAGAUGGUGAAUUAUUUUGAUGUGUUCUUGCUUCUUGUGAUAUCUUUGGAUUUUAUUUACUGGACAAAUUCGGUAGGUGGUAAAUUCCAUUUCCAUAUUGCUCUUGCUUCUUCAAGAUAGCUCGGAUUUGUUUCUGGAUAGAUUUGAAGGAUGUGAAUCAAUUUUGAUCUUGUGCUUGCUUCUUCAUGCUAGCUUAAAUCUUUAGGACAAAUUUGGUAGAAUAAGAAUUGGUGAAGUUUAAAUAGUUGUUCUUCCCUUAUUUUCUCAUGAUACUUAGAUUGUAUAUGCACUGCUUGAAGUUCUAUGUGUUUUUUUAUGGAAGAUAGUAUAAGAACUAUGCAUGUUUACUUGCGAGGUAUGAUAUGAAUGAGUCAUGUUCCUCUUAUAUGGAUAACUAGAUGAAUAUGUGCGUAUGUGGUGACAAUACGAGAUGAGUGCCCCGGGAUGAGCUCAGGGGAGGACCCUUCCAAACAUGAAUGAUGAUGCAAUGCAUGUUGGCUUCAGCUAUAUGGUUAUAAAUUCUCCUAAGAGGUGAGGGAGACGCUGCUAAGGAUAUGAUAGAAGAUGUGGAGGUGGAGUAGCUGAGGAGAUGAGAUGGAAGCAUGAUACACUGUCCGAGGACCCCUGAUAGCAUGUCAUGAAAUUUGUCCAUUGUUUUUGUCAUAUAAUAAUUAGGGUUGGGGUUAGUCUCUUGCUAAUACUUGGUAGACAAUUCAUGAACUUCGUUCGAGGGACAUAUGUUAAGUUUGGAGAUCCAUAUGUUAAGUUUGGAGAUCCAUAUGUUAUGUAAAUUUUUCUUGAAUCUGAGUUUUGUUCUUUUGAUGGAGUAUUAUGUAUUAUUUUAUCCAC